ACGCUGACCACACAAGCUCAUCCCCUCCCCUCUCCACCCACACAGACGCAUCCUUUUGUUUUUCCUCUAGCUUCAUCGCCUAUCGACCAUCAUCGUGCUUUUCCAUCCUCCUCUCCGCGCAGACCCUCUCUCCCUCUCUCUCUGUGUUGCCGCUGUCCUUCCACCUCUGCUCACCGCUCUCUCUUCUUUCUGCACCUUCGCCACCAUGUCCGCUGUCUGGGCCCAGGUGAGGCAGACGGUGGAGUCCGAGUGGGAUAAGACGAUCGUACCGGCCAUCUCGGCCUACAUCGAGGUGCCGAACCAGAGCCCGCAGUUCGAUCCGGAGUGGGCCACCAAUGGCCUGCAGGAGAAAGCCUUUGGCAUCCUCAUUGAUUGGAUGAAUGCGCAGAACGUGCAGGGGCUCACGUACGACUUUAUCACCGCGGAUGGCCGCACGCCGUUCCUCCUCGUCGAGAUCGCCGGCACCGAGCCGACCAAGAACACGGUGCUUAUGUACGGCCACAUGGACAAGCAGCCGCCUCUCCGCCCGUGGGCGGAGGGUCUCGACCCCCACAAGGCGGUCGUGCGCGAUGGCAAGCUGUACGGCCGCGGUGGCGCCGAUGACGGCUACGCGCUCUUUGCCGCCGUCACCGCCAUCUCGUCGCUGCAGCGCCACGGCAUCCCGCACGGCCGUGUCGUGAUCACGAUCGAGGCCGGCGAGGAGUCCGGCAGCCCGGACCUGGGCUACUACAUGGAGCGCUGCAAGGAGCGCAUCGGCAAGGUGGACCUCAUGGUGUGCCUGGACAGCGGCAGCAUGAACUACUCGCAGGUGUGGCUCACGACGUCGCUGCGCGGCGUUGCGAUCGGCGAGCUGACGGUGCAGACACUGACGGAGAGCAUGCACAGUGGCGUCGCCGGCGGCGUUGUGCCGGACACGUUCCGCAUCACGCGCGAGCUCCUCAGCCGCAUCGAGGACUGCAAGACGGGCGAGGUGACGAUCCCGGAGGCCCACUGCGAGAUCCCGCCCUACGCGGCCAAGGCGGCGGAGGCGAUGAAGGCGGUGCCGUUCAAGGAGCAGUUUGCGAUGGCGGCGGGCGUGGCGACGGUGCCUGGCGACAACGUCGAGCUGGCGAUUCAGAACUUUUGGAAGCCGAGCCUCACCGUGACGGGCGCCAACCUGCCGGACCCGCAGAUCGCCGGCAACGUCAUCCGCACCCACACGACGGUGAAGCUUUCCAUGCGCCUGCCCCCCCUGGUGAAGGCCGAGGCUGCACUGCAGGCGAUGAAGCGCAUCCUGGAGGCAGACCCGCCGUACGGCGCCAAGGUGACCUUCAAGAGCGUGGGCGCCGGCAACGGCUGUGCUGCGCCGGAGCUGAAGCCGUGGCUGCGGGAGGUGCUGCACGAGGGCAGCACCGAGGCCUUUGGCAACACGUACGCGUGCCAGGGCAUGGGUGGCGCCAUCCCGUUCAUCGGCAUGCUCAUCGACAUGUAUCCAGAGGCGCAGUUCGUCGUGACGGGUCUCCUCGGCCCGCAGAGCAACGCGCACGGGCCGAACGAGUUCCUGCACAUCCCGUACGCUAAGGGGUUGACGUACAGCAUCGCGCGCGUCGUGGCGGCGCACCUCGACAACACGCCCAAGUGAGGCAACGCGCCACGUGCCGGGGGCGGCAAAAGAGGGCUGCAGGGGAAGCGACGAGAGGAGCACCGGGCGUGAUGGGCCAGAGAGAAGGGAUGGGGGAGGCGAGAGGGCCCCCGUGGCGACCGUCAAGCCCCAGCCCCUUCCCAUCGCACCUCCUCGCAUCCUGCUGCUGCUACUGGUGCUACGCUGUUUCUCUCGUCGCUGCCCGUGGGCAUUUCGCUGGUGCUUCCUCCUUCGCGCACUUUUUCUUUCGACCCACGCAACGCGCCACGGGAGAACUGAGCGGCCGGUGGAGGAGCAGCGGGGUGUGGGGGUGGGGGGUGCGAGGCGGAGCCGACAGGGCGCGGACUCGGGUGUGCGCGUGCUUGACCGUUCUGGCGUGGGAGGGGAGGUCCUCAUACGCUCCCCUGCUGCGUUCCCUUCCCUCUCUUCUGCACUUUACCCCCGCACGCCCCACAUCGGCUACUUUCCCGUGUUGCCCGAUGCCGUCCAGCGGGACGGUCGUCUGUGCCCCUCGCCCGCCCUUGUCGAGUUAGGCCGUGACGCCUCCUCUUCUGUUUUUUGGGCGGCAGUGCGAGCGUUUCCUCUUUCUCUGCGCGCUUCCCCCUGCUUGGAUGUGGUGGUGGUGAUGGUGCGCGCACAUGCAGAACUGCUCGGCGUGUUGGCACCGCUACGGAGCGGCAGCAUACGACCGAGGUCACCACCCGCGAAGGUCGAGCUGCGUAUUUCCUCUUCAGGGUUUUUUUUCCGCGUAGAUGUGCAUGCGCCAAUGUACAUGGCUAUGUAACGGAUGCCCCUAUCAUUCUCCUUCUCUUCACACGCCACACACUCAUGUGUCGUGGUGCGAAAGAGUUGCAGCUCACCGCUCUACUGGAGAUGGCGUUUUUCUUUGUGGUGUGCCUCGCUGUUGGCGUUGCACUACAGGACUCUUGCAUACGCGAGACAGGUGAUAUGAGAAAGUGAUGUUUGGCGUCAGCACCGCCCUUCCCUCGCCAGUGCGUGAGAGAGAAGAUGGGGAUGUGCGUUACACGGCGGCCGCCGAACGAGCCGGCGCAUACGCCUCCGUCGCUCCGACUUCUGGGGCGGUGUGUGCACGAUCACUCUGCUUGCACCGAGACCCGUGACGGCGGGAACAGGGUGCGUACCCCAUACAAGAGCAUACAUGUGUGCAUAGGUCCGUGCCUGUGCACGGACCAGAGCGCGGAGCCAGCCGUCCUUCCAGUUUCCUGUCGCACCGGGUGGAGACAUUAAGGGGUGGGCCCUGGAAGGCGCAUGGGCGUGUGGAAUGCGGUUAUCGCUCGCAGUGGGCAAAGGAAUGUGAGAAGGAGCCCUCCGUUGUCCAUCCCUCCCUCCGUCGGGUCUUGUGGCACGUGCUUGUCCCGAGUAAGGCGAGCAAAGGAUCCACACAGAUACGAAAAAGAAAACAAUAACGGAAAAACCUCCGCAGGGACCGGCGCGCACUCACUUGCUGGCGUAGGACGGAGAGCAGGUACGGAGGAGAGCGAGCCACAGUUGGCCGUCAGCACCUCUUGUUUACAGCGCAUCCUUCACCGUGCUCUACGUAUGCGCAGGAUCCUGAUCUGCACAAAG
rnacentral:misc_RNA from 1 species